AUGUUUACUGUGGGCUUAGACGUUGAUACGCGUGCCUACUUCACCGCAGCUACCAUGAUCAUAGCUGUGCCCACAGGAAUCAAAAUCUUUAGUUGGAUCGCUACCAUGUGGGGAGGUUCGAUACAAUACAAAACACCCAUGUUAUUUGCUGUAGGGUUCAUCUUUUUGUUCACCAUAGGAGGGCUCACUGGAAUAGUUCUAGCAAACUCUGGGCUAGACAUUGCUCUACAUGAUACUUAUUAUGUGGUUGCACAUUUCCAUUAUGUACUUUCUAUGGGAGCCGUUUUUGCUUUAUUGCUGGAUUUUACUAUUGGGUGGGUAAAAUCUUUGGUCGGACAUAUCCUGAAACUUUAG
rnacentral:rRNA from 1 species